CCCUGUAUCUCUAUUGCGUCUCAAAGCACAAACACAAACGGAGAGAAGAGAGAUUGUGUGCGUGCGUGUUUGUGUGUGUGUGUGUUAAUGAGAGAGAUGUCCAGGAGAUCAGGCAAUUGUGUGAGGUGCUGUCUCGUAAUAUUUGCUGUAGUUUCAGCUCUAGCUGUGUGUGGACCUGCUCUGUUUUGGAGAUUUAAGAAGGGAGUUAGUUUAGGUGAUAACAAAUCUUCUUGUCCUCCUUGUAAUUGCGAUUGCCCUCCUCCUCUUUCUCUUCUCAAGAUUGCGCCUGGUAAGUGUUGCUUUCAUGAUUUCUGCUUGUGGGUUGUUUUCAAGUCAUGAGCUUGAUUGAUUAUACGCUGAUUAGAGUGAUUUUGAGGAGUAUCUAUUUCAUCGAGUUGAUAUCUUUGAUCUACUGUUUAUGCCUUUUACUCAGCGGCAGGUUUUAAUGAUUUCUGUUUGUGGGUUUUGCUUUCAAGUUUUGAUUUUGUUUGAUUGUAUGUGGAUUAUAGUGAAUUUGAGUAGUUCUCAUUUUAUCAAGUUGAGAUUUUGAUUUGUUGGUAUAGCUCAUUUUUUGCUAUCUGGGUUGCUGUCGAGUUCUGAUUGGUUAAAUGCUGAUUAGAGUAAAAUAAUUAGCUUGAGGUUUUGAUCUACAGUUGUUGCUAAUUUUGAUGUCUGAGCUUUGUGUAUAAUGGAAUAGUUGCAAUAGAAUGAGGAAUAAAUUCUAAUUCAAGUCAGAUUUAUUUUCCAUUCUUUUAUGAUAUAAUUAAGGUUGCUUAUGUCAUCAAAUUUUGAGGUUCUGAUCAGCUGUUAUUGGUGAUUCUUGGUUUGGCUCUCAAUCUUCUUGGUCACCAGGGAUGUGAUUGUAUUACAGUCUUAAUCUAUCUUCUUUACACCCAAACUAAACAGAGACGUGAGCAGUAGUGAUGACUGAACGAAGACCGAGACGGCUCCUGAAGUGAACAAGACUUAAUGAUUUUUUGUAAUAACUGUCGGGUAAUGUUUACAAGUAAAACACAGCUCAUUAAAAUACUCGAACGGAACUGACUGACUUCUUUGCAUACAAAAAAAGGUUAAAACUUUUCACAUACAAGCUGAAGUAGAUUCAUUCAUUCAUUGAUAGUAAAAGCCCCAUCAAUCAAAGCAUACACAUUAGAUCUCCCCUGUAUCUCUAUUGCGUCUCAAAGCACAAACACAAACGGAGAGAAGAGAGAUUGUGUGCGUGCGUGUUUGUGUGUGUGUGUGUUAAUGAGAGAGAUGUCCAGGAGAUCAGGCAAUUGUGUGAGGUGCUGUCUCGUAAUAUUUGCUGUAGUUUCAGCUCUAGCUGUGUGUGGACCUGCUCUGUUUUGGAGAUUUAAGAAGGGAGUUAGUUUAGGUGAUAACAAAUCUUCUUGUCCUCCUUGUAAUUGCGAUUGCCCUCCUCCUCUUUCUCUUCUCAAGAUUGCGCCUGGUAAGUGUUGCUUUCAUGAUUUCUGCUUGUGGGUUGUUUUCAAGUCAUGAGCUUGAUUGAUUAUACGCUGAUUAGAGUGAUUUUGAGGAGUAUCUAUUUCAUCGAGUUGAUAUCUUUGAUCUACUGUUUAUGCCUUUUACUCAGCGGCAGGUUUUAAUGAUUUCUGUUUGUGGGUUUUGCUUUCAAGUUUUGAUUUUGUUUGAUUGUAUGUGGAUUAUAGUGAAUUUGAGUAGUUCUCAUUUUAUCAAGUUGAGAUUUUGAUUUGUUGGUAUAGCUCAUUUUUUGCUAUCUGGGUUGCUGUCGAGUUCUGAUUGGUUAAAUGCUGAUUAGAGUAAAAUAAUUAGCUUGAGGUUUUGAUCUACAGUUGUUGCUAAUUUUGAUGUCUGAGCUUUGUGUAUAAUGGAAUAGUUGCAAUAGAAUGAGGAAUAAAUUCUAAUUCAAGUCAGAUUUAUUUUCCAUUCUUUUAUGAUAUAAUUAAGGUUGCUUAUGUCAUCAAAUUUUGAGGUUCUGAUCAGCUGUUAUUGGUGAUUCUUGGUUUGGCUCUCAAUCUUCUUGGUCACCAGGGAUGUGAUUGUAUUACAGUCUUAAUCUAUCUUCUUUACACGUGAUCCGAGUAAAAGUAAUUAGGUGUUCAUUUCAUCAGGAUGAUACUUAAAUUUUUUGUUAUGUGGUUGACUCUUUUUCCUUGCUUGGGUAUCGCAGUGAUCAGGAUAAGCUUAAUCUUGCUUGACGAUUAUCUUAAAUCUUUAGUUCCAUGACGUUUUAAUUAGAAUGAAAAUCUAGGAAUGCUGUUUUGGUCAAUGCUUCAGCAUUAUAAAUCCAAUAAAUUGUAUUCAUUCGACAGUUGAUCACCCCCAAAACCACUGAAAGAGAAAUUGUGAAGUUUUUGUGAACUAUGAUUUCAAUGGAAGAAAAGAUUUUCCAGAGAGAAAAUUUUGUACUGUACACUUUUUUAUUAUUGGAAGUGGGUCUCUUAAGUUGAUAGUCAAUAUGAAAUAGUGGUUGCUUUGCUGCGGCUGUUAGCUUUUGAAAUGUCAUACAGGUUCCUUAAUUCCAAUUGACAUCUGCAAGUUUUUUACCUCACUGUUUAAUAUGUAGGAAUUUUUUUUUGGAAAUUGAAAUUUCAAAGUCUCUACAUAGAUGCUGAUGUUACCUUUCGGAUUUUCUUAUUUCCUGCAGGGUUAGCCAAUCUCUCAGUCACAGGUUAGAGCUCACUCUCCUAGCUUAACUUGGUGAAGAACUUCUUGCUUUUGUCCUUCUUUCUUAUUUUACUCAAAUUCGACUGCUUUGUUGGGUUUUCUUGACCCUUAGUGUUUAUUGCAUUCCACCUAUCAGCAGGCUAGUAUAUUGCAUUUUGGCAGAGUAACACGUUACUUAGCUCAUAAAUUAUGUAUCAGGCUAGUAGAUUGCAUUUUGCUGAGUAACCUGUUACUCAGCUUAUAAAUUAUGUACUCUUAUAUCAGUUUACAGGAAACAUAGUUUUUUUUUUCUUUUUUUGUAUUAAUGUUUGAUCUCUAAAUUCUUUUCAUCAUAAUUCACAUAUUGGUAAAAGAUUGAGCUACUCAUGCAUUUGCUCUUAACUGAUUAUACUAAAUAAAUUAUGAGAUAUCUCUCUGCAAGUUUGAGCCUUUGGAUCCUAAGAACAGUAUGUCGGGCAAGGGUAUAUUUUUCUUUUUCGGGCAGAUGUUACUUAAGUGGAAAUGUAGAAGUUUGAUAAAAUGGUUGCUUCAGAAAAUAUACUUUGCUGCCAAAAGCCUUUUAGCUCAUUCUUUUGUCAGCUUUCCCUUUUUGUUGCUCAGAUUCCUAGCGUGUAGUUUUUC
rnacentral:lncRNA from 1 species